ncrna:Prevotella buccae ATCC 33574 engA RNA
GCCCUGAAUGUAUGGAGGGUAUUACUCUCGCUGCUUAAGCGAGGGCCGAAGAAUGUAUAACUUCAGAAAUUAAAACA